GGCGGACGGGUGAGUAACGCGUGGGUAACCUGCCCUGUACAGGGGGACAACAGUUAGAAAUGACUGCUAAUACCGCAUAAGCGCACAGGACCGCAUGGUCCAGUGUGAAAAACUCCGGUGGUACAGGAUGGACCCGCGCUGAUUAGGUAGUUGGCGGGGUAACGGCCCACCAAGCCGACGAUCAGUAGCCGACCUGAGAGGGUGACCGGCCACAUUGGGACUGAGACACGGCCCAA
rnacentral:rRNA from 1 species